rnacentral:RNase_P_RNA from 1 species
GGACCGAUACAGACGAUUGCUCUUAGCAAUAAGAGAGGAAAGUCCGAACACAGGCAGAUUAUUCUGCAGGAUGGUAGCGGGUAACGCCCGUCCGCCGCGAGGCGCGAGGUGCGAACAGUGACGUCGGAGGCGAAAGCCAAUGACAUCCUUCGGGAUGAACUUCAUUGAGAGAUGAAGAUGAAACGGCCAAAUCCUUACUUCUGUGCAAGGCCGUGCUCCUUUACCGGAGAGCGCCGCUUGAGGGUGACAGUAAUGUCAUUCCCAGAUAGAUAAUCGUCCGUGCAGCAAUGCAUGACAGAAUUCGGCUUAUCGUAUCGGUCGACAC